rnacentral:tRNA from 1 species
UAUGGAAUGGCAGAGGUUAUCGCAGUUUCAAUCCCUAAUAGGGAUUUAAGUAUGUUGCAACGUAUAUGGAUUUGCGGAGCCUUUCCAUAUUCUGCAA